AAAUUGAAGAGUUUGAUCAUGGCUCAGAUUGAACGCUGGCGGCAGGCCUAACACAUGCAAGUCGAACGGUAACAGGAAGCAGCUUGCUGCUUUGCUGACGAGUGGCGGACGGGUGAGUAAUGUCUGGGAAACUGCCUGAUGGAGGGGGAUAACUACUGGAAACGGUGGCUAAUACCGCAUAACGUCGCAAGACCAAAGAGGGGGACCUUCGGGCCUCUUGCCAUCAGAUGUGCCCAGAUGGGAUUAGCUUGUUGGUGAGGUAACGGCUCACCAAGGCGACGAUCCCUAGCUGGUCUGAGAGGAUGACCAGCCACACUGGAACUGAGACACGGUCCAGACUCCUACGGGAGGCAGCAGUGGGGAAUAUUGCACAAUGGGCGCAAGCCUGAUGCAGCCAUGCCGCGUGUAUGAAGAAGGCCUUCGGGUUGUAAAGUACUUUCAGCGGGGAGGAAGGUGUUGUGGUUAAUAACCGCAGCAAUUGACGUUACCCGCAGAAGAAGCACCGGCUAACUCCGUGCCAGCAGCCGCGGUAAUACGGAGGGUGCAAGCGUUAAUCGGAAUUACUGGGCGUAAAGCGCACGCAGGCGGUCUGUCAAGUCGGAUGUGAAAUCCCCGGGCUCAACCUGGGAACUGCAUUCGAAACUGGCAGGCUUGAGUCUUGUAGAGGGGGGUAGAAUUCCAGGUGUAGCGGUGAAAUGCGUAGAGAUCUGGAGGAAUACCGGUGGCGAAGGCGGCCCCCUGGACAAAGACUGACGCUCAGGUGCGAAAGCGUGGGGAGCAAACAGGAUUAGAUACCCUGGUAGUCCACGCCGUAAACGAUGUCUACUUGGAGGUUGUGCCCUUGAGGCGUGGCUUCCGGAGCUAACGCGUUAAGUAGACCGCCUGGGGAGUACGGCCGCAAGGUUAAAACUCAAAUGAAUUGACGGGGGCCCGCACAAGCGGUGGAGCAUGUGGUUUAAUUCGAUGCAACGCGAAGAACCUUACCUGGUCUUGACAUCCACAGAACUUUCCAGAGAUGGAUUGGUGCCUUCGGGAACUGUGAGACAGGUGCUGCAUGGCUGUCGUCAGCUCGUGUUGUGAAAUGUUGGGUUAAGUCCCGCAACGAGCGCAACCCUUAUCCUUUGUUGCCAGCGAUUAGGUCGGGAACUCAAAGGAGACUGCCAGUGAUAAACUGGAGGAAGGUGGGGAUGACGUCAAGUCAUCAUGGCCCUUACGACCAGGGCUACACACGUGCUACAAUGGCGCAUACAAAGAGAAGCGACCUCGCGAGAGCAAGCGGACCUCAUAAAGUGCGUCGUAGUCCGGAUUGGAGUCUGCAACUCGACUCCAUGAAGUCGGAAUCGCUAGUAAUCGUGGAUCAGAAUGCCACGGUGAAUACGUUCCCGGGCCUUGUACACACCGCCCGUCACACCAUGGGAGUGGGUUGCAAAAGAAGUAGGUAGCUUAACCUUCGGGAGGGCGCUUACCACUUUGUGAUUCAUGACUGGGGUGAAGUCGUAACAAGGUAACCGUAGGGGAACCUGCGGUUGGAUCACCUCCUUACCUUAAAGAAGC
rnacentral:rRNA from 16 species